rnacentral:rRNA from 1 species
GCGCACCAGUCGAGAAACCUCCCCAAUGCCCGAAAGGGCGAGGGGGCCACCCCGAGUGCCACCCUCGUGGUGGCUUUUGCCGGGUCUAAAAAGCCCGGCGAAUAAGGGGGGGCAAGACGGGUGUCAGCCGCCGCGGUAAUACCCGCCCCCCGAGUGGUGGGGAUCAUUACUGGGCUUAAAGCGCCCGUAGCCGGCCGGGUGUGUCCUCCGUUAAAUCCACGGGCCUAACCCGUGGGCUGCGGAGGAUACUACUCGGCUUGGGGGUGGGAGAGGGCGGCGGUAUUCCCGGGGGUAGGGGUAAAAUCCUCUGAUCCCGGGGAGGACCACCAGUGGCGAAGGCGGCCGCCCAGAACACGCCCGACGGUGAGGGGCGAAAGCUGGGGGAGCAAACGGGAUUAGAUACCCGCGUAGU